rnacentral:rRNA from 1 species
UGAGAGGGAAGAGCUCAAAUUUGAAAGCUGGUACCUCCGGUAUCCGCGUUGUAACCUCGAGACACGUUUUCCGUGCGGCGCUAUGGACAAGUUCCUUGGAACAGGACAUCGUAGAGGGUGAAAAUCCCGUACUUGCCAUGGAUGUACCGUGCUUUGCGAUACGUGCUCUAAGAGUCGAGUUGUUUGGGAUUGCAGCUCAAAAUGGGUGGUAGACUCCAUCUAAAGCUAAAUAUCGGGGAGAGACCGAUAGCGAACAAGUACCGUGAGGGAAAGAUGAAAAGCACUUUGGAAAGAGAGUUAAAAGUACGUGAAAUUGUCGAAAGGGAAGCGCUUGAAGUCAGCCAUGCCGCUCAGGACUCAGCCUGGCUUUUGCUUGGUGUAUUUCCUGGGUAGCAAGUCAGCAUUGGUUUGGAUCGUCGGAGAAGCAUAGUCGGAAUGUGGCGCCCUCGGGCGUGUUAUAGCCUUCUAUUGGAUACGACGAUCUAGACCAAGGAACGCAGCGCGCCUUA